rnacentral:lncRNA from 1 species
GCUGGGCUGUGCGGACAGGUUCGCGUGGGGCUCCUGGGCCUCCCGCAGCCGCGUAGGUUUCGGGAACCGGGUCGCCUCCCUGCCUCCGGAUUCUCACGCGCUGGUGUCCGGUGGCCCUGGGAAAUCUUUUCUUUUAACAAUGUGUCGAUCUCUGAGAGCAGAUCAUGAUUUAUUUAUUGAAGGAGGAGUCCUCUCCUUACUCAGGGGGUUGCUGUUGCCACAUGGCGACUGUGGUCACCGUCUCUCCUGGACCUGCCUAGAUCCAAAAGCCAGCCCUGGAAGGAACACCUCUCAUUCUCAAGAAGAAGUUAAUGUCUGCCUUACAGUAGAUGUCCAAUAAAUCUUCUUUGAACAAUUAAA